rnacentral:rRNA from 1 species
GACGAACGCUGGCGGCGUGCUUAACACAUGCAAGUCGAACGGAAAGGCCCUGCUUUUGUGGGGUGCUCGAGUGGCGAACGGGUGAGUAACACGUGAGUAACCUGCCCUUGACUUUGGGAUAACUUCAGGAAACUGGGGCUAAUACCGGAUAGGAGCUCCUGCUGCAUGGUGGGGGUUGGAAAGUUUCGGCGGUUGGGGAUGGACUCGCGGCUUAUCAGCUUGGUGGUGGGGUAGUGGCUUACCAAGGCUUUGACGGGUAGCCGGCCUGAGAGGGUGACCGGCCACAUGGGGACUGAGAUAGGGACCAGACUGCUACGGGAGGCAGCAGUGGGGAAUAUUGCACAAUGGGCGGAAGCCUGAUGCAGAAACGCCGCGUGCGGGAUGACGGCCUUCGGGUUGUAAAACGCUUUAGCCUGUGACGAAGCGUGAGUGACGGUAAUGGGUAAAGAAGCACCGGCUAACUACGUG